rnacentral:piRNA from 1 species
AAACUGGAUUUGUGGACCUUAAAGUUACU